GACGAACGCUGGCGGCGUUCCUAAUACAUGCAAGUCGAGCGAAUGGAUUAAGAGCUUGCUCUUAUGAAGUUAGCGGCGGACGGGUGAGUAACACGUGGGUAACCUGCCCAUAAGACUGGGAUAACUCCGGGGAACCGGGGCUAAUACCGGAUAACAUUUUGAACCGCAUGGUUCGAAAUUGAAAGGCGGCUUCGGCUGUCACUUAUGGAUGGACCCGCGUCGCAUUAGCUAGUUGGUGAGGUAACGGCUCACCAAGGCAACGAUGCGUAGCCGACCUGAGAGGGUGAUCGGCCACACUGGGACUGAGACACGGCCCAGACGCCUACGGGAGGCAGCAGUAGGGAAUCUUCCGCAAUGGACGAAAGUCUGACGGAGCAACGCCGCGUGAGUGAUGGAGGCUUUCGGGUCGUAAAACUCUGUUGUUAGGGAAGAACAAGUGCUAGUUGAAUAAGCUGGCACCUUGACGGUACCUAACCAGAAAGCCACGGCUAACUACGUGCCAGCCGCCGCCGUAA
rnacentral:rRNA from 1 species